GGGGAAUAUUGCGCAAUGGGGGGAACCCUGACGCAGCAACGCCGCGUGAAGGAAGAAGGCCUUCGGGUUGUAAACUUCUUUGAUUGGGGACGAAUAAUGACGGUACCCAAAAAACAAGCCACGGCUAACUACGUGCCAGCAGCCGCGGUAAUACGUAGGUGGCGAGCGUUGUCCGGAAUUACUGGGUGUAAAGGGCGUGUAGGCGGGGGAGCAAGUCAGAUGUGAAAUCCCGGGGCUCAACUCCGGAGUUGCAUCUGAAACUGUUUUUCUUGAGUGCUGGAGAGGAAAGCGGAAUUCCUAGUGUAGCGGUGAAAUGCGUAGAUAUUAGGAGGAACACCAGUGGCGAAGGCGGCUUUCUGGACAGUAACUGACGCUGAGGCGCGAAAGCGUGGGGAGCAAAC
rnacentral:rRNA from 1 species